UGUCCGUGUAUAUUUGUUAAAAAACAUUUUUAUCAAAGCGGGUUGCCCAACUUCACACUCAGAAAUAAGCUGGUUAACUUCCCAACCUCUGAAGAGGAGCACACAGCCACUUCCAGAACCAGAACCUGAAGCAGUUUCAUUGCCAGCUAGGUUCAGGUUGAGUUUCUGUUCAGGAAACCUCGUCUUCCUCUGCAAUGAGACACUUCCUCAGCCAAUCAGAGAGCAGGACCUUGAAAACACGCCCAGACCCUGACCUCUGACCUCUGUGAGGAAAGAUGGAUGGUCUGAACUGUCUGGACGAGGAGGUGGAGCACAAAGCCAACACGCCAGCUUCUGGUUUGUCUGCUGUUGCACGCCACAAACGCCAAAACCAAGAGCUCUGAUUAACUUCCUGUUUCCUGAUGACAAUAAAAACGUCAGUACUGAA